UUUCCGAAAGGGUUGCCGAAAAGAAAUUUCCGGUACACAAAGCUAACGGGUCUGUUAUUAGGUAACAGACAGCCGGGCUGCCGAA
rnacentral:ncRNA from 1 species